AUGGGCGACGGGGUGGCUUUUGAGGCUGCCAGGAAGAUCAUCAUGCACCCGCUCUACGCGUCGAGGUCCUCGCCCUGGCUCGACCUCAAGGUGUUCUACGUGAGGGUCAGCAACUGCAUGGUGGACGAGUCCGCGCCGGACCAUCUCACGCUCAACCACAUCCCGCUGUCCCCCGACACGGUCAUCGAGGUCAACGGGCGGCGGAGCAGCAUGCACACCGAGUUCGUCUCGUCGUCCCUCAGAAGGGACAGGAUCGACAAGAAGACCGAGGAGGCCACGUACGUGAGCACGGAUAGCAUAAGGAUGACGGGGAGCGUAAGGUUCCAGGUGUUUGAUAAGAACGAUCUCUUGCUCACCGGGGACCUGGAGUUAUGCAAUGCCAAUGGUGUGGUCGGGGAACCGAAGAGCAGCAGCAAGAAAUGGAAUAUCAAGUGCCAAUCCUCGGCAUCGUCUAGUGGUUUCUUGAAGGGGAAGAUGUCCACGGGCCCAGACUCUGCGCAUCCUGUUGUCGAGGUUUACAUUGCUGGCACUUUCUCUGGCACGCCAAUUAUAUUAACCAAGACGGUCCAGUAUAUAUCACGGAGGAAGUCCCAGAUGAAACUGAAGCUGGACUCUAUCCCUGAGAAUGAAGCAACUGAACUACAUACAGAGAACUCACACGGGGACUCUGUGAAGGUAUCAGAAUUCUAUGAUCCCAAGUCUGAGACAGACGUGGACAUGGACUAUAACAGCUUGUACUCGAGGCAGGACUUUCUAGAGGGCGAGGAUGGUGAGCUUUCAUGGUUUAAUGCUGGCGUGCGGGUUGGAGUCGGGAUCGGCCUCGGCAUAUGCGUGGGCGUCGGGUUGGGUGUUGGCCUGCUGGUCCGGACAUACCAAGGCACCAGCAGGAACUUCAGGCGGCGACUGCCCUGA
rnacentral:rRNA from 1 species